rnacentral:rRNA from 1 species
AACGAACGUUAGCGGCGCGCCUAACACAUGCAAGUCGAACGAGAAAGGGCUUCGGCCCCGGUACAGUGGCGUACGGGUGAGUAACACGUAGGUAAUCUGCCCAUGGGUGGUGGGAUAACCCCUCGAAAGGGGGGGCUAAUACAGCAUGAGACCACGUUUUCGAAAGGGAAUGGGGUCAAAGUCGGCAUAUGCAAGCAAGCCGACGCUUGUGGAUGAGCCUGCGGCCCAUCAGCUAGUUGGCGGUGUAACGGACCACCAAGGCAAAGACGGGUAGCUGGUCUGAGAGGAUGAUCAGCCACACUGGAACUGAGACACGGUCCAGACUCCUACGGGAGGCAGCAGUGGGGAAUUUUGCGCAAUGGACGAAAGUCUGACGCAGCGACGCCGCGUGGGUGAUGAAGGCCUCGGGUUGUAAAGCCCUGGUGGGGAGGGAAGAAUAAGGGUACGUAAAGUAAGCGUAUCUGA